GUUUGCAAUUGUUUUGAUUUUGUUGUAUGGUGACCUGUUGUGCUAUGUCAUUUGCCUAUAUAUAUUGGUCUAUUUUGGUGAGUAAACAGAAGAGAAAAAUUAAAGGGCAAAGGGCCGAGAUUUUAUUUGAGCAGAGAGCCGAGAUGGACUUGAGGCAUGAUGAUCCAGUAUUGAUUUAUUCUUUUAAAGAUUUCAGGUACCGAGGAUAAGCUUGGAUUGCUAGUUGCGGGAUUAGGUGGAAGAGCAGGAGUUGAGGAAUUAAAUUAUUUUAUUUAGAGAAUUUUCUGUAUUUAUUUGAGGAAAUUGAUUUAGUAUAAAUUUAAUUAAUUUGAGAUGUUGUCUUAUUUAUUUGAGAAAAUUUGAUUGAUUUUGUAUCAAUAAAGGAUAUUUUAUUUCUUUUGA